UACGUAGGGGGCUAGCGUUGUCCGGAAUCAUUGGGCGUAAAGAGCGUGUAGGCGGUCCGGUAAGUCCGCUGUGAAAGUCGGGGGCUCAACCCUCGAAUGCCGGUGGAUACUGUCGGGCUAGAGUCCGGUAGGGGAGCAUGGAAUUCCUGGUGUAGCGGUGAAAUGCGCAGAUAUCAGGAGGAACACCAGCGGCGAAGGCGGUGCUCUGGGACGGUACUGACGCUGAGACGCGAAAGCGUGGGGAGCGAACAGG
rnacentral:rRNA from 1 species